CAUACCUGAAUAGAGCUAAAAUUGGAAAAAAUAAGUCUAAAGUGUUAGCCCAUAACGAUGUCAUUUCUCUUUUAAAUCCCGAUUUUGAAGGUAAGACAGUGCCUUUGCAUUUUUCAAUUUCCAUCUCUUGUUUGUUGAAGUUUCUUACUCAGCAUACCCCUUAAAGGUUCAUUCAUUCCUCUUUUUUUACCAAUCCCCAAUUUCUUUGAAUUAUAAUUCUAUUUACUAGGUACUGAAGAGGAGUUAUGCAAUAUUUAUGAGUUUUCAACUGAGUAAAAUUUUUUGUACAGUCACUCAAGUUAGCUGUUUUGUAGACCCCAGCAGCCUUUUUGUUAAAAUUUUGUGGGAAGCUCUGUAGUUGAUCCGCACUGAUGGAUGGGUCUGUUGCCCCACUGAUGGCACUAAUGUCAGCAAUGCCACAGGAUUCACAUGAUCUAUCUGAUCCAAUGCAAAAAUUUGCUUUAGCUUAAAAAACCAAUAAAAAAAUCCUUUCGAUUUUUCACAAAUCAACAAUUUUGCAGUUUUUUCUUGGCAUGCUGAUGUAUGAAGAUACCAGUUAGGAUGUUUUUAUUUGGAAUUGGUCACUCAUGGGAACCAAUAGCAGUAUUGCUGCACAACAUAGCGUUGUAAGGCACAGCAUGCAAUCUUUACGUUAAAUUUACUGACCAAAAUUUUUUUCUCAAAAAAUAUUGAAAGAACCUUUUUUACAUUCAAAAGGAGCAUUGAUCGCCAUAUCUCUGAAUUCAGUCAGACGUUUUUAUGAAAAAUCGAUCCACCUCAAUCAUGCGUCAUUGUGCAUCUGCAGAUUCUCCAAUUUUACUAUCACACUACCCAUGUGUAGAACUGAUAUUCUCAUGGCUUCUUUUUUUCCAGUUUACAUUUAUACAGAUGCAAAAAUAACAGAAAAACCAGAAAUUCCGAUAGAAGUAAGGAGAGACUAUGCUGUAAGUCGUAAAUUAGGCAAUGGUGCUCAAGGACAAGUCUUCCUUUGUAUCAAUAAGGCAACUGCCGAACAAUGUGCCAUAAAACAUAUUCUCAAAGCUGAUAAUAGACAUGUUCUGAAUGAAGUUAAUAUUUGAAGAAAUUGCAGCAUGUAAGUAUUAACAAGACAUUGAAUCAUUGAUGAUUUAUCCCUUUCUCACCACCCUGUUCAAUGGAACACUAGACAAGUCGUAAAUUUAAGCAUUAUGUGAUGUAUGUUCUCUCAUCAAAGUUGCUCAUGGGACACGAUUUUAACCUGCAAAUUCCAACUUCGUAACCAAAAUAUUUUCGUCGUUUGAUGCAUGAAUUCAAACUUCCCGCUCAUAAAUAAAAACCGAAAUCCACUCGGGAAAUCUCUCACUUAAUGUAACCGUAACAGUCAUUACGUAACAAUCUCUGCAGUAUGAGAAUAUCGCAACCCCAAAUUCGGUGGCAUGGUUCUAGCUGUUGCUUGUUGUGUACACUUUGAACAACAUAAGUCGGGCAAGUUGUAGUUAUCGGAAUGUUGAGGUAUGUAGAAACAAGUUUCAUGAGUGGAUCACUAAGAAGGGUUUGUUUAAGAAUCUACAGUCUGGACCAUUAUCACUGGAUGUAUUGAUGUGGGUUUUUAGUCUGCUUUGUCCUGUAGUCAAAGCACUUGAAUUUUCGUUACAAUAUUGUGGCCGUAUCUUCUAAUUUACUUUUAUUUUCAUUUUUUGGGUUUGUUAUUGUUACCCAUAAAUUUUCUCUUCCUCAGAGCCACAUCGUGCACAUGCAAGGAUACAUUGAGUCGCCAUAUGCCGUGUUCAUCAUCAUGGAGUACAUGGCUUGUGAUUUAGAAUCACUCCUAAAUGAAAGAAAAUAUUUAGAAGAAACAGAAUCGAAGGUUGUGUUCUAUCAAAUGCUCAAGCUGUCGAGUACUUGCAUAGCAACCGGAUAAUACAUCGAGAUUUAAAGGUAAGCUGUCCUCCACCUUGUUUUAAAUGAAUUAUAAUUCAAGAUAAAAACAGAGCAGCAUAGCAAAUAUAAUAUGACAGCAACGUAGUAGAUAUGAUACUGCAGUGUCCUGGCACCUGGCAUUUCUCAUUUAUCGUUCAGUGAGGAAUGCAUUUCUAGGCUGUACACAGCUCUAAAGAAAACUUCUAUCAUAUCACUAUUCAGUCCAGAAUUUUUACAAGGGCUCUUUAUCCCUGGAGCUCUUUUCCUGUGAUUGAAUGCAGCUUAAGUGUCAUUCAGCAAUUAAACGAUACAAUGAACAGUAACAGUGGCGAGCAAUGGUUGCUUGUCAAGAUAGUAUAAAUACGAAAAUCAUUUCAAAAGCAAGUUCCAAGGUUGUAUUUCUCCAAAACUUUUAAAGUAUGAAUGCAGUGAACAAACAUGUAUCCAUCUUACUUCCAGCUUUCUAAUGAGCUAAAUAUGUUAAAGAUUGGGCCACUAGACUGCUGUGAAAAUCUAUUUUACUGGACUAACCUCUCAGCACAGGUCCAGAAAUGCGACUUUGAUGUGCUCGCUGAAUGUUGGAAUAACAAAACUAAUCAACGGUCUCACAAAAGAUAAGUUGAAGAGAGCCUGCCUCACUUUUCAACUUAUUCUCUUUAUUUGUCCUAACACACCUUAUAUAACUGAGGGUAUGAAGGACACAAUGCUUUUUACUGCAUUUAUAUGUAUAAUUAUUUAUAUAAUUAAUAUCAAUAGUUUCGAUGAAAUGAGACUACAAAACUCAAUUUUCGGAUGACCCUCCUAUAUUGCAAGGCAUGUUGAAUCAAUAUUAGAGGGGGAUUUCAGCCAUUUGUGCCAUCAUAUGGCAAAUUAGCUCUGUU
rnacentral:lncRNA from 1 species